GGGAAGAAAAAGGAUCUUUCUGAAAAGAGUGAAAUAGUACAAUGUCUUGGACGAGGUAUGAAAACAUUAGAUAUUUCACGAAAACUUAAGCGUGAUCAUCGCACUAUUAAGAGAUUUGUGGCUGAUUCAGAGCACAGACGGGUUCGUGCAGAUAAAGGCACAUUGAGGAAGAUUUCUGCCAGAUCCCUGCAUCGGAUCAAGG